rnacentral:rRNA from 1 species
AACGUAGGACGCGAGCGUUAUCCGGAGUUACUGGGCGUAAAGCGCGCGCAGGCGGUCCUUUAAGUCAGGGGUGAAAGCCCAGAGCUCAACUCUGGAACUGCCUUUGAAACUAGAGGACUUGGGUACGGGAGAGGUGAGUGGAAUUCCGAGUGUAGAGGUGAAAUUCGUAGAUAUUCGGAAGAACACCAGUGGCGAAGGCGGCUCACUGGCCCGUUACCGACGCUCAGGCGCGACAGCGUGGGGAGCAAACAGG